AUUGAACGCUGGCGGCAGGCCUAACACAUGCAAGUCGAGCGGGGUUUUCGGACCUAGCGGCGGACGGGUGAGUAAUGCGUAGGAAGCUACCCGAUAGAGGGGGAUACCAGUUGGAAACGACUGUUAAUACCGCAUAAUGUCUACGGACCAAAGUGUGGGACCUUCGGGCCACAUGCUAUCGGAUGCGCCUACGUGGGAUUAGCUAGUUGGUGGGGUAAUGGCUCACCAAGGCGACGAUCCCUAGCUGGUUUGAGAGGAUGAUCAGCCACACUGGAACGGAGACACGGUCCAGACUCCUACGGGAGGCAGCAGUGGGGAAUAUUGGACAAUGGGCGGAAGCCUGAUCCAGCCAUGCCGCGUGUGUGAAGAAGGCCUUCGGGUUGUAAAGCACUUUCAGUAGGGAGGAAGGGGGUUGUGUUAAUAGCACAGCAUUUUGACGUUACCUACAGAAGAAGCACCGGCUAACUCUGUGCCAGCCGCCGCCGUAACAC
rnacentral:rRNA from 1 species